ACUGUUUACCAAAAACAUAGCUCUCAGCCAAUAUGAAAGUAGAAGUAUGGAGGGUGAGGCCUGCCCAAUGGUUGUAUCUAAAAACGGUUGAUAAAAGUCGACUUCAUAAGGACAAUUGAAUGGCCGCGGUAACACUGACCGUGAUAAUGUAGCGUAAUCAAUAGCCAAUUAAUUGUUGGCCAGUAUGAAUGGCGUCACGAAGGCCCCACUGUCUUAAGAGAAUUCCCAGUGAAAUUGAAUUCGUAGUGAAGAUGCUACGUCCAAUUUGUUAGACGAAAAGACCCCAUUGAGCUUUACUGGAGUCUUACAUUGCUCGGAUCAACUCUCGCCCCCCCCUUGGCGGGGGGGGUCGAAUUUAAAUGGAUAGCUUAGAUUAUGUGGUGUCAUAACCGUCGAUCAAGUAGUCCUUACAGGAUUACCCCCCCGAAGGUUGACCUAUUUGGGUGAAUGAAACCCCACUCUUCUUUGUUAAAUGAGCUAACCCUUUUCUCCCUUAAAGGGGACAAUGUAAGUUGGACAGUUUGGUUGGGGCGACCGCCUUUUAAAGAGUAACGAAGGUGUGCUUAAGGUACAUAAUUUAUAACACAAGCCUGACUGCGAGGGGGACCCUCCGAGCAGACACCUAAAGUCUUCUCCCUUCCCCCCGAAGGUUAAAGANGAAUGGUGGGUUAUAGUGACCCGUUAAUUUAGAGUGGAAUAGUUAACGAUCAACGAAUAAAAGUUACCAUGGGGAUAACAGCGUAAU
rnacentral:rRNA from 1 species